rnacentral:rRNA from 1 species
AACGAACGCUGGCGGCAUGCCUAACACAUGCAAGUCGAACGAGACCUUCGGGUCUAGUGGCGCACGGGUGUGUAACGCGUGGGAACCUGCACUUAGGUUCGGAAUAACUCCCCGAAAGGGGUGCUAAUACCGGAUCAUGUCUUAGGCCCAAAGAUUUAUUGCCUCUGGAUGGGCCAGCGUUGGAUUAGCUAGUUGGUAGGGUAAAAGCCUACCAAGGCGACGAUCCAUAGCUGGUCUGAGAGGAUGAUCAGCCACACUGGGACUGAGACACGGCCCAGACUCCUACGGGAGGCAGCAGUGGGGAAUAUUGGACAAUGGGCGAAAGCCUGAUCCAGCAAUGCCGCGUGAGUGAUGAAGGCCUUAGGGUUGUAAAGCUCUUUUACCCGGGAUGAUAAUGACAGUACCGGGAGAAUAGGCUCCGGCUAACUCCGUG